AGUGGGAUAGCUGGGUCAAGUGGUGGUUCUAUUCAAGUUUUCCAAGGAAUCUCCAUACUGCUUUCCAGGUUGGUUGCACUAGUUUGCAGUCCCACCAGCAAU
rnacentral:pre_miRNA from 1 species